rnacentral:rRNA from 1 species
GAUGAACGCUGGCGGCGUGCUUAACACAUGCAAGUCGAACGAAGCACUUUAUUUGAUUUCCUUCGGGACUGAUUAUUUUGUGACUGAGUGGCGGACGGGUGAGUAACGCGUGGGUAACCUGCCUUGUACAGGGGGAUAACAGUUGGAAACGGCUGCUAAUACCGCAUAAGCGCACGGCAUCGCAUGAUGCAGUGUGAAAAACUCCGGUGGUAUAAGAUGGACCCGCGUUGGAUUAGCUAGUUGGUGAGGUAACGGCCCACCAAGGCGACGAUCCAUAGCCGACCUGAGAGGGUGACCGGCCACAUUGGGACUGAGACACGGCCCAAACUCCUACGGGAGGCAGCAGUGGGGAAUAUUGCACAAUGGGCGAAAGCCUGAUGCAGCGACGCCGCGUGAGCGAAGAAGUAUUCGGUAUGUAAAGCUCUAUCAGCAGGAAGAAAAAAUAGACGGUACCUGACUAAGAAG